AUUCACCCUAUAUAAUUUUAUAAUAUGUUAUAUUAUUCAUAUUAUUGGAUUUUUGUUAUUUAUCUUAUCUUAAAAUGUCUACACAUUGCCCAUGGCCUUCGAUGACGACGAUCACAAUUACAAUUGUUGCAAUAAAGUUUUAAUCAGUUCUCAUCUGGCAACACAGCUCCCAGUAAAUUAAUAAGAAAUUUUUCCAAAGCGCGAAUUCAUACAGGAGCAAAUGACUACACAGUCAUAAAAACUAUCAAUGAACUCAUGACUCUGAAGCAUCAAAAAUCGAAGCAGAUGUCACUGUAACAAAUCUAAAAAGAAAAGCUACUAAAUGUAUGGAGCCUAUGUCUACUUUGUUUAACAUGUGUAUUGCUCCAUUGUGUAAAGCAGCCAAAGCAAACAACAUUACAAAAUAGUGCUGCAUUAAAAAAACAAGUUUGACRCAAAAUACAAGAAAUUCUAGCUGUACCACAAAAUUCGGAAAAUUUAACCACAUAUUAGAAAUACCAGCUUCAUAUUGUAUGUACACUUCAUCAACAGGAAAUGAGGAACUAUUUUUGCAAGAUGAUAGUGGUCCGAGUCCAAUUUUUGGUGAUUACCGAAGCCUUGAUAUACUACAGAACUCUAAAAUAUGGUAGUGAAGUGAACUAGCAAGAAUUGGAGGAAUACCAAUAGAAAAUAUUGUGAUAUAUACAAGAUGUUUACUAUUUUACUUGAAUUUAUAUAUUAUGGUUUAAGAAUAAAGGAUAAUUUUUUUAUUAUUGGCAAUAAAUUAGAUAGUAGUUGGUGAGUUUUAUAUUUGUUAAUUUUUAUUCUAUAUUAACUCUGAAAUGGAGUGAAUGUUUAUUUAUA